CAAUUCACGCUCAUGUGCAGGGGUAGGGGUAAGGGGGAGGGCUUUGUACCCCUCCACACAGAGGGCUACGAUCAGGGCCAUAUGGCUUCGACUAGCAUCACUCCAAACAGAGGGUUACGCGAAAUUUCCCAGAGUACAACGCGAACCAUUUUAAAAAUGGCGGAAUAAAAGAAAGAAGUACACAAAUGGACUCAAGCACAAACAAAGAGCCUGAUCAGGUUUCGCGCCGAAAACGAAGAUCGCUUUCUAAAGUCCAAAGCCUUGGCCAAACAACAGUUGGAGAAGCUGAUCAAGGAGCUGGGGCUGCAGGAGAAGGUCUCCAAAAAAUGAGCUGAAAACUCCUUCCUCUGGGGGUGGGACUGAUGAAGGCCAGGAGACCGUCACAACGUGGCAAUAUUAUGAAGACAUGCACGAGGUGCUGGGAGGAAGGACAUCAAUGGACCCUCCGAUCUUGGUGGAUGCAUUUGCAGAGGAGGAUGCCAUCAUCAGACGUGCUUUGAACGUUGCUGAGCCCAGCACUCCGAUGCGCCAUGCACCUUCGCUGUUCCUGCUCUGGUCACCCCACCAUCUCGUUCUCUUUUUGGCCAUGUUUGAUGGACAAUCUUUUCAUCUUAAAUGUGAGAUGAUUGCACUGUUGCCUGUUUAUAUUCACUUUUUUUAUUGAUUGCACUGUUGUCUUAUGUUCAUUUCUUUAUGUGUUUAUAUUCAUACUGUUUAUUGUCCGUAGUUGCACCGCACACUUUACAUCAGACACUUUAAGCUGUAAUUUGCACUAUUUCUAUUUUUUCAUUAUUUCUGAAAAGAAGCUGCUUUACCAGUCUGUAAUGUGAGUAGCCUAAUAAAAGAAAUAAAGGAAAAAAGUUUGUGAGCAUGAAUAUCACAUCAACAUCAUAUGAACGACU